ensembl:lncRNA
GCAGCACUUAGGGGCAGUUUAUAUCAGCCUGCAAGAUAAAACACCUGGGCUAGUAUUGCCAGAGGAGCUGUAAUACUGUGCAAGGAGUACAAUCAGGUCCACAUUGGACACUGUGAAAUAGCAGUAUUCUCUUUUUUCCUCUGUCUGCCCAAGCCCAGAAUUGAAUUGAUUCUGGGGCUUUCAUGAAAUGCCAGCUGCUGGGAGCACAAACCAAAAGCAGACCUGGAAAGAGCAGAAACUGGACCAGAAGCUUUUACUUUCUCUAUACACAGCAUGUAGUUGCACUGAGGUGGGAAGAUGAAGUCAUUUUUCAAACCCUAAUUGGCAACAGUGGACAGGAGAAAGCCUGCAGAACAUAACCCAAGCAAGUCACUGAAGAUUCAGGCUUCAUUUGUGAACAGAACAAGCACAGACCAGGCUGAGGAGUGCCUGAGAGCCACUACUGCACAGAAGCACAACUGGACCCUGACAACAGCAUCACUGCCCAAGGAGCACUCAUUUCAAACAUCACUGAGUUUACAAAACUUGGGGGAAACUUACCUGACUUUGACUCUUCCUGCUGUGCCAAAGAUGACCAGGAGUUCAGUGGUGCAGUCAGCUGGAGAAAGAUGGUGAUGUAAAAAAUGCAGGAUUGUAGUAAAAAAUGUGAAGACCUGGAAGCAAAUAAAAAACUUUCUUCUGCUGGGGAAAACACAUCUACACAGAAUAGUCUUGGCUUUUUCUGUGAAAACAAAAAGAACUUGAAAAAUAAAAAGAGCACUCUCUCCCUUUAAGCUUGCCUUGCAACUAGCCACAGUUUUUACUCAAUUUUUUCUGCUUUAUAGCAAAAAAGAAAAAACCACUGACAGCGAUGUUUCUUACUACUUUUUUUUUUAAUAUAAAGUUAACUGAAGGGAUGAAAAAAUGGAAUCUGGAAUUCAUAGCUCCUGACCCUUUUAAAGCAGCUUUUGUCGAGAUAACACAGCUAAGAGUAAAAGAAGUCAGGCUAGGGGGCAAGGUUGGCUCAUAGCCAUACAAGUUUGAACACUUCUUAGACAGCAG